GAUUUAAUUUUAAUUUUUUGGAAAAUCAACAAACAACAAAAUUCAGAUCUGAAAAUCGGCGGAAAUUAGUGAGAGUGAUGCUGCAAGGAAGAGAGAUGCAAUUGGUGGGAAAGAGAGAUGGACGACGACAAUGGUGGUGGCUGGUGGUGGAGAAUGAACCGUGAGAUUUUAUGUUUUGAGAAACUUAUGAGUUUUUUAUGGUUUUGGAUUUAUGGGUUUGAGAUUGAAUUGAUGAGAUGAAAUUUAAGAUUGAAGAUGAAGUUUGUUGUUAUUGUUUUGAUUUUUUUUUUUUUAAUUGAAUGAAAGAAUGGGUUGUUGUUGUUUGUUCUUCC
rnacentral:lncRNA from 1 species